UUUCCAAGUGUGUAAAGAAUGUUCAGGCACAUGAUGGGCAAGGUUUUCGCUAACACCACAAGGGUCUCUGGCCCAAUGAGUGGAGUUUGAUAGUAAUCCUUGCUACAAGU